UACGUAGGGGGCAAGCGUUGUCCGGAUUUAUUGGGCGUAAAGAGCGUGUAGGCGGCCUGAAAGGUCAGCUGUGAAAACUCGAGGCUCAACCUCGAGACGUCGGUUGAAACCAUCUGGCUAGAGUCCGGAAGAGGAGAGUGGAAUUCCCGGUGUAGCGGUGAAAUGCGCAGAUAUCGGGAAGAACACCCGUGGCGAAGGCGGCUCUCUGGGACGGUACUGACGCUGAGACGGCGAAAAGCGUGGGGAGCGAACAGG
rnacentral:rRNA from 1 species